UAGAGGAAGUAAAAGUCGUAACAAGGUCUCCGUUGGUGAACCAGCGGAGGGAUCAUUACCGAGUUAUACAACUCAUCAACCCUGUGAACAUACCUAAAACGUUGCUUCGGCGGGAACAGACGGCCCCGUAACACGGGCCGCCCCCGCCAGAGGACCCCCUAACUCUGUUUCUAUUAUGUUUCUUCUGAGUAAAACAAGCAAAUAAAUUAAAACUUUCAACAACGGAUCUCUUGGCUCUGGCAUCGAUGAAGAACGCAGCGAAAUGCGAUAAGUAAUGUGAAUUGCAGAAUUCAGUGAAUCAUCGAAUCUUUGAACGCACAUUGCGCCCGCCAGUAUUCUGGCGGGCAUGCCUGUUCGAGCGUCAUUACAACCCUCAGGCCCCCGGGCCUGGCGUUGGGGAUCGGCGAGGCGCCCCCUGCGGGCACACGCCGUCCCCCAAAUACAGUGGCGGUCCCGCCGCAGCUUCCAUUGCGUAGUAGCUAACACCUCGCAACUGGAGAGCGGCGCGGCCACGCCGUAAAACACCCAACUUCUGAAUGUUGACCUCGAAUCAGGUAGGAAUACCCGCUGAACUUAAGCAUAUC
rnacentral:rRNA from 1 species